CCUACGGGGGGCAGCAGUGAGGAAUAUUGGUCAAUGGCCGAAAGUCUGAACCAGCCAAGUCGCGUGAAGGACGACUGCCCUAUGGGUUGUAAACCUCUUUUAUAGGGGAAUAAUAAGUGCUACGUGUACCUUGGUGCAUGUACCUUAUGAAUAAGGAUCGGCUAACUCCGUGCCAGCAGCCGCGGUAAUACGGAGGAUCCGAGCGUUAUCCGGAUUUAUUGGGUUUAAAGGGAGCGUAGGCGGUUGUUUAAUUUAGUGGUAAAACGUCGGGCCUUCACCUUAAAUUGCCAUUAAUACUGGCAGACUUGAGUACAGACGAGGUAGGCGGAAUAAGUUAAGUAGCGGUGAAAUGCUUAGAUAUCACGAAGAACUCCGAUAGCGAAGGCAGCUUACUAGACUGCGACUGACGCUGAUGCACGAGAGUGUGGGUAGCGAACAGGAUUAGAUACCCGUGUAGUC
rnacentral:rRNA from 1 species